rnacentral:misc_RNA from 1 species
CACAUGAACCCCAAGCGUUAUCCGGAUUCAUUGGGCGUAAAGGGUGCGUAGGCGGCUCUGUUAGUCUUGUGUCAAAGCCCUCAGCUUAACUGAGGAACGGCACAGGAAACGGCGGAGCUCGAGGAUGUGAGAGGUAUACGGAACCCAUGGUGUAGAGGUGAAAUUCGUUGAUAUCAUGGGGAACACCAAAGGCGAAGGCAGUAUACUGGCACAUUCCUGACGCUGAGGCACGAAAGCCAGGGUAGCCAAGAGG